rnacentral:rRNA from 1 species
CUCGUAGGCUGCCAACUAAGUCAGACGUGAAAUCCCUCGGCUUAACCGGGGAACUGCGUCUGAUACUGGAUGGCUUGAGAUUGGGAGAGGGAUGCGGAAUUCCAGGUGUAGCGGUGAAAUGCGUAGAUAUCUGGAGGAACACCGGUGGCGAAGGCGGCAUCCUGGACCAACACUGACGCUGAGGAGCGAAAGCCAGGGAGCAAC